GAUGAACGCUGGCGGCGUGCCUAACACAUGCAAGUCGAGCGGGAACCUCAGGAGGGGUAACCCUCCUGAGGGGAGAGCGGCGAACGGGUGAGUAACACGUGGGCAACCUGCCCCGGACACCGGGAUAACCCAGGGAAACCUGAGCUAAUACCGGAUACUCCGGCGAGAUCGCAUGGUCGCGCCGGGAAAGCUCCGACGGUCCGGGAUGGGCCCGCGGCCUAUCAGCUUGUUGGUGGGGUAACGGCCCACCAAGGCGACGACGGGUAGCUGGUCUGAGAGGACGGCCAGCCACACUGGGACUGAGACACGGCCCAGACUCCUACGGGAGGCAGCAGUGGGGGAUCUUGCGCUAAUGCGCGAAAGCGUGACGCAGCGACGCCGCGUGGGGGAUGAAGGCCCUCGGGUUGUAAACCCCUUUCGGCAGGGACGAAGCGAAAGUGACGGUACCUGCAGAAGAAGUCCCGGCUAACUACGUGCCAGCCGCCGCGGUAA
rnacentral:rRNA from 1 species